UACGGAGGGUGCAAGCGUUAUCCGGAUUCACUGGGUUUAAAGGGUGCGUAGGUGGGUCUGUAAGUCAGUGGUGAAAUCUCCGAGCUUAACUUGGAAACUGCCAUUGAUACUAUAGAUCUUGAAUACCGUGGAGGUCAGCGGAAUAUGUCAUGUAGCGGUGAAAUGCUUAGAGAUCAGGAGGAAUACCGGAGGCGAAGGCGCCUGCCUGGCAAGAUAUUGACGCUGAGGUGCGAAAGCAUGGGGAGCAAACAGG
rnacentral:rRNA from 1 species